rnacentral:rRNA from 1 species
UACGUAGGGUGCGAGCGUUGUCCGGAAUUAUUGGGCGUAAAGAGCUCGUAGGCGGUGUGUCACGUCGGCCGUGAAAACCUGCAGCUUAACUGUGGGCGUGCGGUCGAUACGGGCAUCACUGGAGUUCGGCAGGGGAGACUGGAAUUCCUGGUGUAGCGGUGAAAUGCGUAGAUAUCAGGAGGAACACCGGUGGUGAAGACGGCUCUCUGGACCGUAACUGACGCUGAGACACGAAAGCGUGGGUAGCAAACAGG